CUAGUUUAAGUUGUAAAAAAAGGGGCUAAGGUUCACCAAUGUUCCCAACUGAAAAGUUUUAUUAAAACACAUGUUUUAGACAUUUUCGAAAUGUUUUGAAAAAACAUUAAGUAAACUUAGUCCACUAAUGCGAAGUCACCGAAAAUUUUUUCCUUACCGAUUAGUUUAAAAAACUUUUAUUACAAAAGUCAUCAAUGCAGAUUCUUCUCUGACUUUGUAUUAAGUUCAGCCAAAUUUUGUUAUGUGAGAUCAUCCUUUAGGUUAUUUCAGCUUGUGAACCGCCAUACACUACAGCUUUCUGCCUCCACUAAACACUGCCAUGGAGGUGGGAAUGGAGGCCUUGGAGGGAAAGCAGAAGGCGUGGAUUUGGCUUCUGGUCUGAUUUUGCUUCAAGAUUCAGAGAUGUAUAGGUUUAUCACGCUCUUGCUAAACUGAAUGACUUCAACCCUUGGUGUCCCGUUUCCUUGUUUUUUCAUGUUCCUUGAAGUCUUGCCUUGCUGUCUUCACCCCUGAAGAAGCAGUCACUUCCUCCAUCAAGCGACUGGCUUCAGGAGAGAAACACACACCUUGGGUCGCCCUGAGAGGGACUGAGGCGUUCUCAGACCGUUUCUGUGGCCACGUGUGCUCCACACUUCUUGUUCCUUCUUGGGAGGGAAUUCUUAAGGUUGUCUGCCUUCUCUGGAUGCUGCAGAGCCAGGCCGGUGCGGGCAGCCUCCCUUUUGCUUUCUCCAGGUCCCAUUGAACGCUGAAGUUUGCAUGCUUUCUCUCCAUCCCGCUCACUAGCCAUCUGCGAAGACUCACCAACCUUGGGUGGGGGUCGGGUGCGCACCCACAGCACCGGCCAGGGGGUGGGGGUGUGGGGACUGAGAUGUGCGCAGCACUGGGGUGUCCGUGGGCCGUCUGGGGAGAUCCGCAGGCAAGCUGUCCCCAGCAGCUUGUGGGUGGGCUUCCUGAUGGAGUCCGCAAAGUGGCUGGUAGAAUGGUCCUUUCGAUGCCCUCCGAGAGCCCGGGCUGCCUUCUCCCAGCCCCCUCCGCCCCCCACCGGUCGUGCAGCACACCCGGCGUUCUGGAUGCGGGGAGAGAGAGAAGUGGGCAGGCUCCCCUACAGUUGGGGAAGCCAGACGCUCACGCCCACGCCCUCACCUCCCCCUUGGGGAGAAAUCGCUGGUGAAAGGGGCUCUCUUGGCUCUGGGCUGUGCGCUGGGGGAGGAGUCACAGGAAAAGUGACACUGGUCCUCUUCAUUGCGUCCAAUCUCAGGUUUUGUUUUGCUCCCACAGUGUGCUGGAAUUUCGCGGGUGUCUGGGAUUCCCACAAAGGUGCUCUUAUCCGCGGAUGAUGUUCAACAUCAGUGUUCGUUGGGCCUGUCACUGUCGUCUACACCAAGGCCCCUCCCUGAACUAGAGAAACAUGGAGCAGUGGAAACGAGGGGCACGGCCACGCCUGCAGCCAGGGGCCUCCACCUUCUAGUAGAAAGAGUCUUGGGAGGGGCCUCUGUGGGGCGGCCCCUCUUUUCCAGGUGGGAGCCCCUGCGGCCCAAACUCCCUCCGUCAACCGUCCUUGCCAAAGAGGCCCCCAGAGCCGGUGUUCUGCCCCAGCUGAGCGCUCUCUCAACAAGUACUUCCAAAGGGCUCCACUAAGGGAAGAAAGUAAUCCCCACAAGUUCAAAAUGGAAAAGGACCAGCUUCUUUCAAAUCUCGACUCUUGUUGACUUAGAUAUUAGAGUGGACUGCAACAUAAAUAGAAAUUUGAAGUGUUGUUCUUGUUGUUGUUGUUUUGCUGAGGAAGAUUCGCCCUGAGGUAACACCUGUGCCGAUCUUCCUUCACUUUAUACGUGGGUCCCUCCUGCAGCAUGGCUGACAAGUGGUGUACCUCCACACCCAGGAGCCCAACUCAGCGAACCCGGGCUGCAGGAGCAGAGUGUGCCAACCUAACCACUAGGCCACAGGGCCCUCAUCCUGAAGUGGCUUUUUUUGGAAAAAAAAACAUUUGCGGGAUAUUUAAAGAUAGUAUGAUAAAUAUAGAGGUGUUUAAGAAAAAU
ensembl:lncRNA